CCACCACUAAGGCAGCAUCUCUUGGAGAUUGCUCCUUGGUGGAGAUUGCCUCGGUGUUUUCCAGCAGAUUGAAGGCUUCCUAUAGGAAACUCACCCAGAGACCACUGCGGAGUCCAGAAGGAAUGCAGGGCUGUGUUCUGGCCAUCAGUACCGGAUACUAAGCAAGUUCCUCUACCAAGUCUCUGCAGAGAGGCAGGCAAAAGGCGUGACCCCACAUCAGCCCACACAAAGGAAACUGAAGGAGUAAUAUUGCAUCUGAGUACUCAGUCCUGUACAGAUCUUACCAUGCUCUCCACACUUCUGCCCUUUGAGGACCAAACCUUCAUUCCCAAUUCAGCCCUACAGUGUGAGAGAAGGACACCUUCAGCUAAUUUACAUCUAAGUGAGCAUUUGUCAGAGUAAAGAAUAAAGGUCUUAGUGUGCAAAAUGGUUCCUGUGGCAGUACUAAUCAAUACUUGCUUGAUGGAUUGCCUGCCAGGAGUCUUUCAGGCACAUCAUUUUAGCUGCUAGACUUUCUGCUUGCUCACUGCUUAACAAAAUAAAUAGAGAUGAAUCAUGGUAUUUAACAUAAAACUCCAACCCAGAAUCAAAGCUGUUUAAAAUGCACAGUGGUUUGCCCUGCUCAAUCCUUCCUUUCCCUUUGCUCAGAAAGAAUGCUAAGUCCCAGCUCUCCUGAAGCAGGCACAAGGUUUGCAUGAUAACCACUUCAUCAAGGACGGCCCUUUCCUCUGCAAUCAUUGACAACAGUCCCAACACAGGGCUUGGUUCCUCUCUGCCCCUGAAGCAGGAGCUGGCUGAGAAAGAAAGAACUGAGAUGUAUUCCUGCGUGGCUGAUGGGAGGGUGAUAUUUCACAUAUGCCUUUCUUAGUUGCUGUGAUGCAAUGCACAAACUGUUCCUUCUGCUCCUGCGCCUAUUGUGCUACUAAUCCACGUGAAAGCUCCCACCACUGAACUGUCCCCACCCGCAACUACAUCACACUCAGAACUGCAAGUAGCAACACAGAGCCAGGUUUUCAGAAGUAUUCAGCUCCUCAGUAAUAACAAAUGCAUGUUUGUCUCUACAAAAAUUCACAUUUCUAUUCAGAAACAUAACUAGUAGCUGAUUUCUUUAUCUAGCUUGAAAAUAGAUGAUGCUUUUCUUGAAACUCUAUACGCCUACAAGCCACUAAUAGCUGGGAAAGGGUGAAUAAUCAUAGCAGUGACUAUUUUGGCCAGAGAGGAAAGCCAAACUUCAUCUAGCAGUUCUGUCCCCUCCCAUAUCUCACCAACCCCCCAACAAUACCCUGCAGCAAAAUGCAAUCAGUCAGGUGGGCAACUUGAAGGAGGGCAGGAGCUGUGCGGCUGGGAAAGCCAGAAGGCAAAUGAUGGGAGCACAGCAGCAAAAAGGAGCUGUACUUCAGGGUCCCAGGGCCAGUUACCCCAGCACUGGUGUUCUGCGAGAUGUUAGAGCAGCAGGAGCAUGCAGGACUUGGGCUCAUGGGUGCAGAAAGCCUGGAGCAGGGGUGUUCAGGGAAGAGACAAAGAGGAUAC